GGCCUGUGGCUUAGUUGGUUAAAUCGCCGGACUAGCGAUGCAGAGUCGUGGGUUCGAAUCCCACCAGAACCA
rnacentral:tRNA from 1 species